GGGCCCGCACAAGCGGUGGAGCAUGUGGUUUAAUUCGAUGAUACGCGAGGAACCUUACCAGGGCUUAAAUGUAGUCUGACAGGGGUGGAAACACCCCCUCCUUCGGGCAGAUUACAAGGUGCUGCAUGGUUGUCGUCAGCUCGUGCCGUGAGGUGUCAGGUUAAGUCCUAUAACGAGCGCAACCCCUGCCGUUAGUUGCCAGCAUGUAAUGAUGGGAACUCUAACGGGACUGCCGGUGCAAACCGCGAGGAAGGUGGGGAUGACGUCAAAUCAUCACGGCCCUUACGUCCUGGGCUACACACGUGCUACAAUGGCCGGUACAGAGGGCAGCCACACCGCAAGGUGGAGCGAAUCCUUAAAACCGGUCUCAGUUCGGAUCGGGGUCUGCAACUCGGCCCCGUGAAGCUGGAAUCGCUAGUAAUCGGAUAUC
rnacentral:rRNA from 1 species